CCUACGGGGGGCAGCAGUGGGGAAUAUUGCACAAUGGGGGAAACCCUGAUGCAGCGACGCCGCGUGAAGGAAGAAGUCUUUUUGUAUGUAAACUUCUAUCAGCAGGGAAGAAAAUGACGGUACCUGACUACGAAGCCCCGGCUAACUACGUGCCAGCAUCCGCGGUAAUACGUAGGGGGCACGCGUUAUCCGGAUUUACUGGGUGUAAAGGGAGCGUCGGCGGUGCAGCAAGUCAGAAGUGAAAGCCCGGGGAUCAACGCCGGGACUGCUUUUGACACUGGUGAACUAGAUUGCAGGAGAGGUAAGUGGAAUGCGUAGUGUAGCGGUGAAAUGCGUAGAUAUUAGGAGGAACACCAGUGGCGAAGGCGGCUUACUGGACUGUAAAUGACGCUGAGGCUCGAAAGCGUGGGGAGCAAACAGGAUUAGAUACCCGGGUAGUC
rnacentral:rRNA from 1 species